UGCAUUCACUACUGUAAGUCGCUCUGGAUAAGAGCGUCUGCUAAAUAUGUAAAA
rfam:Salmo salar isolate Sally breed double haploid chromosome ssa07, whole genome shotgun sequence.